rnacentral:ncRNA from 1 species
CUAUGACUUUUACAAAGUCAUGGCGAAAGGAG